AAAGUGAAGCGCCCUUUCGAAAACACGCAUAUUCACAAUGCAAAGUUUCGUAUGAUGUGGCUUUAGGCGGAAUACAUUCGGCUCAAAGUAAAUAGAGUUACAAAGGUGAAAUUGUAGAAAUAUAGAACUUCAGUUUUUGGAAACGGAUUGCUUACUUUUGCCAACGGAACUCUACACAUUUUUGGUUGUAAUUAUGAAUGGCCACCAUUAAACUUCUUUGUUCAGAACGCUGCAUAUCAAAUUCUAGUUUAUUGGGGUAAAUAACGUAUGGGAAAUCAGCGCAUUCGUAAUCUUCAAGCGGCACUUCUUGGUCCUCGGUGUCAUUUUCGAGAUAGCCUACUGCUUUGACUUGAAACUUCGAACGAAUAUUUUCGAAAUUCAAAUUAAAAUCAAGCUAAUAAAAGGAAAACAUAGCUAUUUUGGAACUUUA